rnacentral:rRNA from 1 species
AUACGUAGGGGGCGAGCGUUGUCCGGAAUGAUUGGGCGUAAAGGGCGCGUAGGCGGCCCGGUAAGUCUGGAGUGAAAGUCCUGUUUUUAAGAUGGGAAUUGCUUUGGAUACUGUCGGGCUUGAGUGCAGGAGAGGUAAGUGGAAUUCCCAGUGUAGCGGUGAAAUGCGUAGAGAUUGGGAGGAACACCAGUGGCGAAGGCGACUUACUGGACUGUAACUGACGCUGAGGCACGAAAGUGUGGGGAGCAAACAGGAUUAGAUACCCUGGUAGUCCACACUGUAAACGAUGAAUGCUAGGUGUAAGAGGUAUCGACCCCUUUUGUGCCGGAGUUAACACAAUAAGCAUUCCGCCUGGGGAGUACGGCCGCAAGGUUGAAACUCAAAGGAAUUGGCGGGG